GGUCACCGGGGCGGCGCUGGCCGCCGUCCGUUCCGCCACGGUCGGCAUGCCGGUGCACGCCGGAGCCGCCGCCCCGUUCGGUGCGGGGCCGUGGCUG
rnacentral:tRNA from 1 species